CCCCCCGGGAGCCCGGCUCCUCCUGGAGAGGCAGGGGAGCCUGGGGACCCCUCUUUGGCAGGUCGGCCUUGCGAUCGUCCCUCCCCCGGGCGGGCGGGCAGUGCUAUGCGGUGUCUCCCCGUCCCUCCCCCCGGGCGGGCGGGCGAUCUGCGCUGUCUCUCCCUCUCUCCCCCCGGCAGGCCGUGCGAGCGCGGCGGGGCGGGCACUUACCGCUCCGGCAGAUGGAGAAGCUUCGCCGUCGUCCUCCGGUGACGGCGGCCCGAUCUUGCUGCAGUGAUGCAUGAAUAGACUCCAAAUGGAGCCUGUGUUUGAUGCUAACUUGAAGAAGAAAAGGAAGGCAGACAAUAAGCCAUGCUGUUUCAUUUGUAGUUCUCAAUCAUCUGAGGGAUGUGUUUCAUAGCCUUCAAAUGACAGUUCUGAGAAAAUUAUUGAGUGCCUUAUGAAGCAAGCAAAAUACAGCGAAGAAAACAGUGACAGAAUUAUGAAAAAAAUUGGCAUUGACUUUAAUGUUGAGACACUGAAACACAACAAUGUGAAGUGGCAUCGAUCGUGUUACCAAUCUGUUACCCACAAAAUAUUAAUUGAAAGACUUCAGAAAAGGUACGGGUUUCCACAGUCAACGCCCUCUACAGAGUGCAUUCAACCUCAGGGAUAUUCAAUCUCUGCACAGAGUGCCGAGUAUACUCGGUCACAAACUGUAGCUUAUGAAAAGGACAAGUGCUUUUUUUGUGAUCAGCCAGCCCCAAGGAAAGGAAAACUAAGGAAGGUUUCAACCGACAAAGCUGGUAGAAACUUAUGUCAAGCUAUAGAAUUUAGAAAUGAUGAUAAACUUAGAGUAAGGUUAAGUGAAGCAAUAAAUAUGAAGGAUGCACACGCAAUUGAUGUUAUGUAUCAUCGAAAAUGUUGGACCAAAUAUGUCACAAAUGUUCUUCGAUCUCAAGAGCAUAGAUUCAAUGAGGAACAUUCCAAGAAGGGAAGAUGUGUUUCAUCAAUGGCAGCAGAAGUUGAAUUCAUCAAUAUUCUUGAAGAGAAACUGUCAGCGGAGCAAGUUUUGGGAAUGGACGUCCUUGAAGAAACAUAUAAGUCUAUUUGUUCUUCAAAUAAUGUGCAUGAAUCAGCUAAUGUCACGUAAGCAAUUAAAGAUAUUUAUUGAGACAGAGCUAUCAGAUAAGGAAGUUGAAUUUUCUCGACUCAGACAGCAUAACAAACCAGAGUUUCAGUGAAGUGUACAAGGGAAAAACUGAUAGCAGAGGCUGAAAGUUACGGUGAUCAAAAGAUGAGAGAACUGAAUGUUUUAUUUGAGUCUGCAGACAUCAGAAAUCUUGUAUUGCAAUCAAAGCUGUGGACAUUUGAUGGUUCUGUACCACACAAUCGCACUGAUAUUAUUCCAAAUGAACUUAACAGCUUCUUUCAGUGGUGCAUUUGGGGAAAAAGAGACAUUUCAUCAGAGAAGAAGGAAAAACAUGAAGAAGUGGAAAGGCAAGCUUGUCACAUCACAAAUUCUGAUGUCAAAUUGUCUCUCUUGUAGGCAAGUAGAAAACAAGCAGUCUACUCAGUUUUCAUGUUUGUUUCCACAAGAACACCAGUAUGCAACAAAUUAGGUAAGGGUUACGUUGAAGCAGCAAUUUACUGGGGCAACAAUGAUGAACACUGCCAAGCGUUCGAAUAACAUUCUGUUUAGUGAAGCAGGCAUGGUCAGACCAAACUAAACAAAUCAGAAGAACUUAAUGACCUAUGUAAAUUUAUUGCAUGGCUCUUGAAUCCUGCUAUUAAGGAUGUUGGCAAAUGCUGUGAUGUUCCGCAGAUCAUAACAUCGGCAUCACUGAUGCCUUCAUUAAUCACUAGUAAGCAAACAUCUUUUCAGGCUCAAAAUAAGCAAUUUUUAAGAACUAGAAAUCUCACUGGGUGUUUUAUUUUGAGAGAAACAUUAAUUGAUAAUAGAUAUCUCUAUUUAGAGGCUGAAAACAGCUUCCUGAAAUUUCUGUUUAAAAGAAAAUUAGUUAUAAUUACAACUUAGUGACUGCUACUUUGUAUUUUUCAAAUUACUCUCAAAUUUUGAUGAGAGUCAUCUCAGUCUAUUAUACUCUCCACCUUUUUAAGGUAUCAAAAUAGCCAUUAGAAUCCUACUAUUAUGGCCAUGCUACCUUUUUUUCUCAAAAUUAGCACAAGCUGAAAGCUUUUUACUAACCUAUUGUAGGUAUUCAGUCUACUUUGUAUUGAUAUAAUUGCACAUAAAUAUGUUCAUGUGGUCUUGUUUUUUUACCAAAAUUAAUAAAAUUUUAUUUUCAGACUUA